rnacentral:rRNA from 1 species
UACGGAGGGUGCGAGCGUUGUCCGGAAUCACUGGGCGUAAAGGGCGCGUAGGCGGCGCGGGCAGUCAACGGUGAAAGCUCGGGGCUCAACCCCGAGUCGGCCGUCGAUACUCCCGUGCUUGAGCACUGUAGAGGCAGGUGGAAUUCCGGGUGUAGUGGUGAAAUGCGUAGAGAUCCGGAGGAACACCAGUGGCGAAGGCGACACGCUGGGUCACACCUGACGCUAAAGCGCGACAGCAUGGGGAGCGAACGGG